AGCGCGCUCCCCCGCGCUGGCCCCGCCCCCCGCGGCCCGCGCGCGCCGCCUCACGGGCGCGCUCCCGCCGGCCCUUCCCGCCCCUCAGGGCGCGGCCCCUCAGGCGCCCUCGCCCCGCUCCGCCCCGACCCCGCUCCCCGCCGUGGCUAAUUCACCUUCGCGGGGCUCCUUCGAGGUGUUGGGGGGCUGUGCUGUGCUGCCAGGCUCGGCUGGUGGAGGCAAAACGCUGCCGGCGGCCACGCGGUGGGAGCUGGCUGGGAGGGGUCAGAACGGUGUAACACAGCGGGGUGAGGCUGGGGCCUCCGCCACUGGGGUCAAAUGUUGGCCGGGGCUUCUGCCUCAUCGCCACCCCAGCCCCAAAAUGUCCUGCAGGUAGUGCAGCUGGAUGCCAUAAAACACAUCUCUGUCUCUGGAUAAAAAGGAAGUCAUGGCUCUUAGAUCUGGAGAUCUAUGUGGGAAAGCACAAGAGCCUUAGUGCUGGCCUUUGAUUUCUGUAUUCUAGAAAGGUCUGUAUUUGCACAAGCAACAAGUACCAAGUUCUCUGAGAGCUGGUUAUGCUGUUCACCAACCCCAGAUAGGUGUUAAGUGCUCCCAGAUUCCUUUCAAACUGUUUGGUGGCAUGGACUAAGGGGGGGUUUUUGGGAUGUGAAUAGCUGAUGUUACUAAACUGGAAGGAAAAUUAUCUGUAUUUCACAUAUAUGAAUAUACAGCCAAGUCAAGGCUUAGCCACACUGCCAGGCUGUAACUCACAGAUCAGUAACUAGACCUGGUGAUCCACCAGGAUCCAAGAAAUGGAUCUAUUUCAGUUGUUUUACAAUGAGGUGUCUGCUUGAGUUCUUAAUCAGACAACCUUGGUGUUUCUUUGUCGUGUCCCAACACUUCCCAACAUUAAAUUCAUCCAGUGACCAUAUUUUUUUUUAUGAUUUGAAACAUCCCAAACACAAAAUAAGAUGUCAGGGCUUGUGCACAUCUAGAAGCAUCAAGACAUGUGGCAACACCUUUUAUACCAUCUUUUAUCCAAGUAUUUCAGAAUGAUUUACAAGCGUUAAUUAAUGUUAAGUGUUACAACACUCCUACUUAAUCUGUAGUUUUUAAUAUUCUUCAAUAGCAGAAUAUUUAAACGUGACCUGUUCUGCAGGUUGUGUUUUCACUUGGCUCAGCUCUUCAGAACACUGGUCAUGUUGCCACAUGAGUAGGAAAUCAUAGCUAAAAAUAUUGCUGGUGUGUGUGUGAAUAUAUAUUUAUAUAUGUACUUCCCAUUGCAAGGAUUUGGUUUAGUUGUCAGUGGUGGUUUUUUUUUUUCUUUUUUUCUGAAAGAGUGUAAAUUAUGGUCCAUAUUUCUAUUUUACUGGUUGUUUUCGAUAAAAAUAGAAUAAAUGUGUCACCUAUAUAAGAGAAUUUGCUGUGGCAAGGAGGUGUCUCUUACUCAAGGAGCUUAUUAUCCUUAGGCAGGGGUUGCUUUUUGCUGGCAGGAUUCCUCUGGCAGAGCAAAUCCUUCUGGCCAUCCAGGAAAUCUUGCAAACCCAGUCAUUCUGUGGGGUUACUCUUAUCAGCACCACGAGGAGAGCUCAUUCCUGCCUUUUCCUCCCCACUUUUCACCAUGGCCAGGGGUCUGGCAAUGAGUGUUGGUGGCUGGGAUCAAGGAGAUCUCCCUACCUGCAUUGGGGAUUUGCUCCUAUUUAAUUAC